GGGUUUCGCGGCGCUCGCCGCACUGGUUGUUCAGCACCUUCGGUCCGGUUGAGGUUGUCAAGUCGGACCAAACAGGUUGUUUCUCUGCAGUUUCCAACAUGGCAGGGAGGUUUAAUAGACAUGGAUAAGAAGUCCACUCACAGAAAUCCUGAAGAUGCCAGGGCUGGCAAAUAUGAAGGAAGCCAGACAGAUUCAAGUAUUGAAGAUGCUGCCAAGGGAAAAAUUAAGAAGAAGAGAAGAGAGAAAACAAAUAAAUGGGAAAAAAGAAAGGACAAAAUAUGAAACACCAAGAAAAAGAGAAGGAAAAAAAGGAGGAAACAACCACAUAUGUCACCUUUCCAAGAGGGACUGAAACUGGGCUGACCCUUUUGAUUUCCAAGCUCAGCGUUUUGGUGUAAGGCGGCCAAAGAAGGAUGCGGAGCCCAGCACUGUGAAGCCUACAAAAACAUUGAUGCGCUGGCUUGGGGAUUUGAAUUUGAACAUCUUUCACACUAAGUUCAGACUCAUGAAACCAAUCUUCAGAUGCUCUGUAAACCACAUAAUAAAGAGUUUGGAAA
rnacentral:lncRNA from 1 species